CAACUAUGUAUUUUUCGAGGCAACAUAAAAAAAUUAGUCGGUUUUAGCUAAUUCAGUACUGUUGUAGGUGGAAUAUCAUAAAAAAUAACCAAAAUUGAUAUUUAGUUUAAUGAGAAAAAUUGCAACCCUGUAAUUUUUGUUGUUGUCUCUCUCAUCUUCGAUUCGGUUCAUUUCCAUUCCGAUGUAGAAAUAGAAGCAAAAGCAAAAAAUGCAAAAUUUCCAUUGUGUGUAGACGACGGCUUUGCCGCACUUGUAUGUCGUUCAUUCGUUGGUUAACAUUUUUUCUGGUUCGUUGUCGCAGUGGUCUAUAAUCAUUUUAGUGAGAAAGAAAUUUCGGUUAAAUAAUUUCUGUGAGCUAGUGAAAAUUUUUUGAAAUAUGUAUAUAAUAAUACACACAUAUAUGUACAUCUAUCAUAUAAUUUUAGUGCGUGCGCUAACAGAUUUUUAAAAUAUUGUUUAGGUACUUCCGUAUUAUAGUAUACGAUUUCGUUAUACGAAAAAGUUUCAAGUCUUCAGCAACUCUGGAGAAAUAUGUAUGUUUGUGUGUACAUAUGUAUAGAUUCCACGUUCCUAUUCACAAGCCUUGUAUGUAUGAACAUGUGUAUACGCACUUAUUCAUUACUACAAAAGGGGGGAAACAAAAGUGCACAUCUGUUCAUUAGAUGCAUUAACAAUAUAAAGAAUUGCAAAUAUUUUUGUAAUUUAGUGAAAGUAUUAUGUGAAUGAAGAGUGUCAUGAAAAUAUGUAUUUUAAUCAAUGCUGUUUAUUUACUAGGUCUUAUUAGAGGAAAUAUAUCAAAAAAUUCAAAAAGAAAAAUUUAAAUUUAAAUAAAAUUCAUCGAAUUGAGUGCAAUGUAAUUGAUGAAAAACGUAUACGUAAAAAAUAUGAGCAAGCAGUGGAAAAUUUAGUAAACCACAUACAACCCGUGGUACAUACCAACCUACCUAUGUAUUAUUUUAUACUUUGUCUAUAUCAAUACCAACGAUUAACGAAAAGCCAGCAGAAAACGGUGAACCACAAGCAAAGCAACCAGUCAUUCAGCCAUCGACCAUCGACUUUCAUCGCGAUUCGCUCUCCUCUCAAUAUGUUGCGACGCAACAAAGCAACACAAAUCUGAGGGGUAUCGGUAUUAGCAGUGACUGCCGUGUCGAAAGCAGUGGUGUUAGUGCUACCCUUCACCAGCAGCGAAAAGGAAAACAGAAACAAUUAUAUACUUAUAAAAUUGUGUUCAUACUAGUGCUCGCCGCUGUUCUUUCUAUCUAUCGCAACGCCAGCGGUACUCGCACCGUUCGGUCUUCUCGCUUGCGGGCUGUUAGCUCGUUCGCACGCGUGCAGUCAGUAUUCCGCUCCGUAGUGGUGUUUAUCGGUGUCGGUGGUGUUGCUGCAUGAGUCGUCUUCGGCAGUGGCAAAACUCGUGCAAAAACUGCGAAGAGCAAAAAUUUCAUUGUCGGUGUUUGCCGUAUGUAUGUACAUAUGUAUGUGUUGGUGAGAAAUCGUAGCCGCAGUAGUCGAUCGCAGUCAGAAUUGUUAGUGCUGUCAAUGCACUAAAUGCACUGGUGUUGGUUAAACUGAGGUUGGUAGGUAAUUUCGAAAUUGAUUUACUUGAAUUCGAAUGUUAAUUCGAAUCGGAAUGCUACUCAGUAUAAUGCAAUUGUGAAUAAAGAUGAAUGAGCAGAAGUGAAAUAAAUGAAUAAAAAACCAAAGAUGUUUAACGAAAAACAGAUAAUAAUGGGAAA